CAAACGACGGAUGCUCGGCUUCGUGUACUGUUGAGAGCGGCGCGGAAUGCAAUGAGAACGAUGCCAUGCAAAGCGUGUGUCAGAAAUGCGGAAACUCGAUCGU
rnacentral:rRNA from 1 species